UGGGGAAUAUUGGACAAUGGGGGCAACCCUGAUCCAGCCAUGCCGCGUGAGUGAUGAAGGCCUUCGGGUUGUAAAGCUCUUUUGGUGGGGACGAUGAUGACGGUACCCACAGAAUAAGCUCCGGCUAACUUCGUGCCAGCAGCCGCGGUAAUACGAAGGGAGCUAGCGUUGUUCGGAAUUACUGGGCGUAAAGGGCGCGUAGGCGGUCCGGCAAGUCAGAUGUGAAAGCCCUGGGCUUAACCCGGGAAUUGCGUUUGAGACUGCCGGUCUUGAAUUCGGGAGAGGUUGGUGGAAUUGCCAGUGUAGAGGUGAAAUUCGUAAAGAUUGGCAAGAACACCCGUGGCGAAGGCGGCCAACUGGACCGACAUUGACGCUGAGGCGCGAAAGCGUGGGGAGCAAACAG
rnacentral:rRNA from 1 species